GCAAGGGACGGAAACGCCCUGAACCAGAAGGAGAAGGCUAUGUCCGCUCUGACGUUGGCGAUCAAUAAUGGCGCCCCUCAUGAAAGACCGGCCCCGAGCGCCGCACCCACCGAUCGGGCGCCCAGGCAGACUCGAUCCAUCGAUGAGGGGGACAUCGUUCUGGCGAUGCUGUGGCAUGCCCGAUCUCUUAUUGAACUGAUUGCC
rnacentral:sRNA from 1 species